UACGUGAGGGGCGAACGUUGUUCGGUGUCACUGGGCUUAAAGGGCGCGUAGGUGGUUGCGUAAGUAACGUGUGAAAUCCCUCGGCUUACCCGGGGAAUUGCAUGUUAUACUGCGUGACUUGAGGAUCAGAGGGGAAUGGGGAACUCCAGGUGUAGCGGUGAAAUGCGCAGAUAUCUGGGGGAAGGCCGGCGGCGAAGGCGCCAUUCUGGCUGAUUCCUGACACUGAGGCGCGAAAGCGUGGGGAGCAAGCAGG
rnacentral:rRNA from 1 species